rnacentral:rRNA from 1 species
GACGAACGCUGGCGGCGUGCUUAACACAUGCAAGUCGAGCGGUAAGGCCCUUUCGGGGGUACGACGAGCGGCGAACGGGUGAGUAACACGUGGGUGACCUGCCCUCAGCUCUGGGAUAAGCCUGGGAAACCGGGUCUAAUAACCGGAUAUGACUCCAUGACGCAUGUUGUGGGGUGGAAAGCCUUGUGCGGCUGAGGAUGGGCCCGCGGCCUAUCAGCUUGUUGGUGGGGUGAUGGCCUACCAAGGCGACGACGGGUAGCCGGCCUGAGAGGGCGACCGGCCACACUGGGACUGAGACACGGCCCAGACUCCUACGGGAGGCAGCAGUGGGGAAUCUUGCGCAAUGGGCGAAAGCCUGACGCAGCGACGCCGCGUGAGGGAUGACGGCCU